rnacentral:rRNA from 1 species
UACGUAGGGUGCGAGCGUUAAUCGGAAUUACUGGGCGUAAAGCGUGCGCAGGCGGUUUUGUAAGCCAGAUGUGAAAUCCCCGGGCUUAACCUGGGAAUGGCAUUUGGGACUGCAAGGCUGGAGUGCGGCAGAGGAGACUGGAAUUCCUGGUGUAGCAGUGGAAUGCGCAGAUAUCAGGAGGAACACCGGUGGCGAAGGCGGGUCUCUGGGCAGUAACUGACGCUGAGGAGCGAAAGCGUGGGGAGCGAACAGG